UAGGAUUGCAGUGUCCUGGAGCAGC
rnacentral:piRNA from 1 species